GCCUGUUUACAAAAACAUGUCUUUUUGUGAUUAAUUUAAAGUUUAAUUUGCCCACUGAUAAAUAUUAUUAAAGGGCUGCAGUAUAUUGACUGUACAAAGGUAGCAUAAUCAUUAGUCUUUUAAAUGGUGACUUGUAUGAAAGAUUGGAUGAAAUAUUAACUGUCUUUUAGUUAUUAGUUUGAAUUUAAUUUUUUAGUUAAAAAGCUAAAAUAAUUUUAAAAGACGAGAAGACCCUAUAGAGUUUGAUAAUUUAAUUAUUAAAAAUUUUUUAUAAUUUAUAAUAAAUUUAAAUUAAUAAAAUUAUUUUAUUGGGGUGAUAGAAAAAUAUAAUUAACUUUUUUUAAAAUAAUAACAUAUAUAAGUGAAUAGUAAGAAUUAAAAUUUUUAAUUUUAAGAAAAAAUUACCUUAGGGAUAACAGCGUAAUUUUUUUUUUUAGUUCUAAUAAAAAAAAGAGUUUGCGACCUCGAUGUUGGAUUAAGGUAUAA
rnacentral:rRNA from 1 species